UACGUAGGGUCCGAGCGUUGUCCGGAUUUAUUGGGCGUAAAGGGCUCGUAGGCGGUUUGUUGCGUCGGGAGUGAAAACUUACAGCUUAACUGUGAGCGUGCUUCCGAUACGGGCAGACUUGAGGUAUUCAGGGGAGAACGGAAUUCCUGGUGUAGCGGUGAAAUGCGCAGAUAUCAGGAGGAACACCGGUGGCGAAGGCGGUUCUCUGGGAAUAUCCUGACGCUGAGGAGCGAAAGUGUGGGGAGCGAACAGG
rnacentral:rRNA from 1 species